rnacentral:rRNA from 2 species
GGGUUGUGAGGUUAAGCGACUAAGCGUACACGGUGGAUGCCCUGGCAGUCAGAGGCGAUGAAGGGCGUGCUAAUCUGCGAUAAGCGCCGGUAAGGUGAUAUGAACCGUUAUAACCGGCGAUACCCGAAUGGGGAAACCCAGUGUGAUUCGUCACACUAUCAUUAACUGAAUCCAUAGGUUAAUGAGGCGAACCGGGGGAACUGAAACAUCUAAGUACCCCGAGGAAAAGAAAUCAACCGAGAUUCCCCCAGUAGCGGCGAGCGAACGGGGAGGAGCCCAGAGCCUGAAUCAGCAUGUGUGUUAGUGGAAGCGUCUGGAAAGGCGCGCGAUACAGGGUGACAGCCCCGUACACAAAAGCGCAUGUGCUGUGAGCUCGAUGAGUAGGGCGGGACACGUGGUAUCCUGUCUGAAUAUGGGGGGACCAUCCUCCAAGGCUAAAUACUCCUGACUGACCGAUAGUGAACCAGUACCGUGAGGGAAAGGCGAAAAGAACCCCGGCGAGGGGAGUGAAAAAGAACCUGAAACCGUGUACGUACAAGCAGUGGGAGCCCCACCACCAAAGCAUUCUCUGGUGUUGAAGGCCCUGCAAAGCAGCAUCGCGGUGGCGGAGCGUCGUUUGCGACGCCCAACACACAAAACAAGCGGUGAAUGCUUUGGGGUGGGGUGACUGCGUACCUUUUGUAUAAUGGGUCAGCGACUUAUAUUCUGUAGCAAGGUUAACCGAAUAGGGGAGCCGGAGGGAAACCGAGUCUUAAUUGGGCGUUAAGUUGCAGGGUAUAGACCCGAAACCCGGUGAUCUAGCCAUGGGCAGGUUGAAGGUUGGGUAACACUAACUGGAGGACCGAACCGACUAAUGUUGAAAAAUUAGCGGAUGACCUGUGGCUGGGGGUGAAAGGCCAAUCAAACCGGGAGAUAGCUGGUUCUCCCCGAAAGCUAUUUAGGUAGCGCCUCGUGAAUUCAUCUCCGGGGGUAGAGCACUGUUUCGGCUAGGGGGCCAUCCCGGCUUACCAACCCGAUGCAAACUGCGAAUACCGGAGAAUGUUAUCACGGGAGACACACGGCGGGUGCUAACGUCCGUCGUGAAGAGGGAAACAACCCAGACCGCCAGCUAAGGUCCCAAAGUCAUGGUUAAGUGGGAAACGAUGUGGGAAGGCCCAGACAGCCAGGAUGUUGGCUUAGAAGCAGCCAUCAUUUAAAGAAAGCGUAAUAGCUCACUGGUCGAGUCGGCCUGCGCGGAAGAUGUAACGGGGCUAAACCAUGCACCGAAGCUGCGGCAGCGA